UGAGCAAUCUGCCCUUCUCUUUGGAAUAAGCGUUGGAAACGACGUCUAAUGCCGAAUACGACCUCCUUUCGCAUGAUCGGAGGUGGAAAGCUCCGGCGGAGAAGGAUGAGCUCGCGGCCUAUCAGCUAGUUGGUGUGGGUAAUGGCCCACCAAGGCGACGACGGGUAGCCGGCCUGAGAGGGUGACCGGCCACACUGGGACUGAGACACGGCCCAGACUCCUACGGGAGACAGCG
rnacentral:rRNA from 1 species